rnacentral:ncRNA from 1 species
CAACGGACUUCAACAGAACAAAAUGGAGCGCCGGCGCAGAAAUGCGUCGGAUGACCGCCGCUAUAUGCUGGGACGCCCUGAGAGCCCGAGGUACUCGCCGGAGACGGCAGUGACAAUCCGAGGGAUUGGGUAAUCAGCAGGUAACCGCAAGGGAACCUCAGAGACUACACGCGGCGCACCUGACCGGUCCGGCCGAAGGUGAAGAUAUAGUCCAGACUGCAAGCCG